rnacentral:lncRNA from 1 species
AGGCUUGCCUCCAGUUUUGGGGCAUCACCCUUCAAGGAGGAGAAGAACCGCACAAUUGACAAUGGGCCUUUGAAAACAGGACUGGAGCCGUGGUGCCUGUCUACACCAGAUUCAUCACACACCGGAGGGCUGACGGUAUCAGUGCAAACACUACUUUGCAACGUCUCCUGCUCCGUCGGAUCAAGCCAGAAUAAAACCACUUCAGAGCAAGCAAGCAUGUAUGGAAGGCAAAAACUUCUGAGUCACCCUCCCCUGAAGGAGAAGGUGUAAAGCUGGCAUGUGUGUGGCUCUUAUCCCACGUACCUUCCUUUCCCCACCUUCUUUAUUGAUACAUUAAUGAGCUUCCUGACAUAGGAAUGGGGACUUAUAUAACUGUACAAACUGGGUAUUUACAUAAUGAUACAGCAGCUCUUACUGCUUGUUCCUCAAGUGACUGGAAAGUCCUUUUGUAACACCUCAGCUGCCUGCUAAGACAGUGAUCAGUGAUCAUGUUGUCCCAUGGGAAGAUUUAUGGCCCUCUCAAGGAUGGGUGGAUUUACUGCAGUCUUAAUCACUGCCAGUUUGUUCUCAGUUAAUUUCAUGCGCAGUCUCCAGCUCAUGUGAACUCAGAAAUCAAAGCAGAAAACAAGAUGUCUCCAUGUUCCUCUCCCUUGGGCUAACCAAGGGCCACAGCUUUGUCCCCUUUCAUCUAUAAAACCAGAGAAAUCAUGACAUAGAUGCACGCAAACAAAAACUGGUCAGUCUGUGAUGAAAGCUGGGUUUGUAACAAGAACCCAGCAACAGGUGAGUUCCAUAAUAGUAAGCUUUGUUCAAAUUAACUCUAAUUAAGCUACAAAACAAAUAAUGCUGCUUUGUACUCAUAGAGCUCUACUGAGAACCAGUGGAGAAUCCACCCAGCUCCUACCAAAAUUAAAGACAUAUUUAUAAACAGAAUUGUUUCUAACAAGAAGACAAAUCUCAUCCUUGUGUAACUGUCCUGAGGUCAAUGGAAAACCUCAAGGGAUUAAUUAAAAUCAGAAUGUUCAUAAAAUUCUUACUGUGCCAGCUGCUGUUAAACGGGGAAGCACGUUAAUGGUUUCUCAACAAACAUGUUGCAAGAUCAGCUCCUUUUAUUCAGCAAUUUUGGUUUUUUAGAAACUGAAAUCUUUUAUUUUUUUUCCUACAGAAACAAUAUUCCCCCGUUCUGUUAGAAAAAGAGAUGAAACAUUAAUACUCUUUGAAUGGAUUUAAAAUCUCUAAUUUGUUAUGGCAUUGUUCUGAAUGUACUGGCAUCUAUUUUUUUUUUCCCCUUGUUAUUAUUUUCUGGAUAAUGCUUUAUUUGUAGAGGCUGAUAAGUGUAUCGUUAAUCACUGAUUGAAAAUGUUGACCAUUUUGGUUCUCUGUGCCUAGAAAAAAACAGUCAGAAUAAACAUGUGAUCUUAUUCA